UGGGAUUACAGGCAUGAGCUACUGCGCCUGGCACCCAGCCUGCUUUCUAUUGUUUAAGAUGCAGAAAUGACGUAUGAAAGCGGGGCAGCCACUUUACAGGUUUCCCCAAGCUCCUGCCUCCCCUGAAAUUUGGCUCCUUUGAGUCCUAAUGGUUCUCGGACCCCAUGCCCUCAGAAGCCUUCCCUACUUGCUUCAGGCGCCUCCCUUCUGAGGUCACAGCUCUGAGGCCAGGAUCCUCUGUAACCGCCUUCUCCCCACGAGGCAGCCUGAUUGCGUGGCCCCUUGAAAGCAAUUAAGCCUGUGGUUUUCAAACUGUGGUCUCCAGACCAUCAGCAUCACCUGGAAACUCGUUAGAAAGGCACAUUCUUGGGCCCACCCCAUACCUCUGUGUUAAUAAACCCUCCCGCUGAUUCUAAUGCGUGCUCCAGGCUGAACAAGAAGGUCCUCAGUGAAGGAAUCAAUUCUGCCGAACUACCGCUUGGGGACAGCACAGGACCACAAGGUAACCAUGGCUGAUGAAAAGCACCCGCAAAUUGCAAAAGCCUCUCACUGCCCUUCCGGCCUCCAGUGUUGCUGUAAGCCCCCUUCAGUUCUCCCCACAUACCCUGCAUGACCUCUGGAAACCUCAUACCUGAUGGUGUCACUGGUUCAGAAUUCUUCAGCAGCUCCCUAGGACAUGAAAGGUCCUUCAUUUGCUGAGCAGUAUCUCCUGCCAGGUGCAUCUUGCACGGGCUCCUCUCUCUCUGUCUCUGUACGUUCCCUGGGGUCGGACCCACCUGGGUUCGAAUUUCAGCCCUGCCAUUUACCGUCUGGGCGUGAUGUGGGCAAGAUACAUCAUUUUGAGCCCCUCAUCUAUGAAAUGGGAGCAGUUAAUAAGACUUUUCUCAUGGGGCGGUUAUGAGAGUCGGAGACCUCAUGUAUAAAGAGAUUUUAGCCUAGGAUCAUGCAAACAGUAGGUGCCUGAUAUGCAGCAACUCUGCUUCCCCAUCUGCACUGCCAAGUGCAAGAGGCAGUUGCCCACAGGCCCAUCUCCGUGCCGGGUGUAGUAGGUGCUGUCUGAGUCCCACCAAUCCUCUGACUUCGUGGCUUCCAUCUGCCAGAACCUGUGUGUCUUUGCCUGGGGCUUUCUCUGGCUGCUGGUAUCCACUGUGGUACCAGGGCCAUAAAUCUCUGUAAAUUGGGGAUGAUAAUAAUGCCUACCUCAUGGCACUGUUGGGAGGCCUUGUUAGUACCCUGCGUAGAAGGGGGCCUCAGAUGUUGGGGUGCUGUUGGGGUGCUGUCUCUGUAACUCGCCUACCCACAGGAGUAGCCGUAUCAGGAAUACUGGGCAGUAGAUGAAAGACGUGGGCCUGGCUCACAUGGUGGCUCUCUGCUCUGCCACCCAGGCCGGCACCUGAGACGCCUGAAUUGAUGUCAUAGGAUGUAAGAGGACACCAGGAGCCUGGGGCUGCCAGUAACCCUGGCACCUUGGCAGGGCAGUGAGUUCUUCAUAGCCUCUGAGAACCUGGACCAUCUCAAGCUGGGGACCUGGAGGUGGCAAGCUGCAGUCAGGACUGGCAAAG
rnacentral:lncRNA from 1 species